rnacentral:lncRNA from 1 species
AAGAACUUGAAAGUAAGAAAGCAUGGAGUUUGAAUGACGUUUUAAAUUUUAGUCAACGUCCAGAUUCUCGUUCGGGUUUCGGUUUCGCUCUAAGGUUUUAGUCUUGUUUGGGGUUACUAUCUCCUCUCGCUACUAUUUGUCGCUUGAAUUUUCGUCGUCGUAAAAUUAAUCUGAGGCUCCUCUCUUAUAUAUUGAAGAAGCUUUGCUCUACAUGUUUCUCUUCCAUAGAUGAAUGAAUUCUGCACUGUUUGAAACAUUUUAAGAGAAGGAACUCUUCUAAGGUUUUUUUCCCCUUUUUAUUAUUAUGUAUGAAGUGUGUUUAUGACUUUCACGUUAGCGUUGUUUUUGAUCUGUUUGACACAUUAGAAUUUGGUCCAUUUUGGAUAUUGAAAUAUCGUUGUUAAAGUUUUUCAUGAUUCAUUCUAUUAUUUGGUUUGCCGAAUUUUGUUUCCUUUUAA